UGGGGAAUUUUGGACAAUGGGGGAAACCCUGAUCCAGCCAUCCCGCGUGUGCGAUGAAGGCCUUCGGGUUGUAAAGCACUUUUGGCAGGAAAGAAACGUCAUGGGUUAAUACCCCGUGAAACUGACGGUACCUGCAGAAUAAGCACCAGCUAACUACGUGCCAGCAGCCGCGGUAAUACGUAGGGUGCAAGCGUUAAUCGGAAUUACUGGGCGUAAAGCGUGCGCAGGCGGUUCGGAAAGAAAGAUGUGAAAUCCCAGAGCUCAACUUUGGAACUGCAUUUUUAACUACCGGGCUAGAGUGUGUCAGAGGGAGGUGGAAUUCCGCGUGUAGCAGUGAAAUGCGUAGAUAUGCGGAGGAACACCGAUGGCGAAGGCAGCCUCCUGGGAUAACACUGACGCUCAUGCACGAAAGCGUGGGGAGCAAACAGG
rnacentral:rRNA from 1 species